CGCUCUCUUCCUGCCGUCAAAUUCCGCCAUGUUGGCUUUUUGAACCAAUCACGGAGGCCGUAGCAGUCCUGUGGGCCA
rnacentral:lncRNA from 1 species